UACGUAGGGCGCAAGCGUUGUCCGGAAUUAUUGGGCGUAAAGAGCUCGUAGGCGGCUUGUCGCGUCUGUUGUGAAAGCCCGGGGCUUAACCCCGGGUCUGCAGUGGAUACGGGCAGGCUAGAGGCAGGUAGGGGAGAACGGAAUUCCCGGUGUAGCGGUGAAAUGCGCAGAUAUCAGGAAGAACACCCGUGGCUAAGGCGGCUCUCUAGUACGGUACUGACGCUGAGACGCGAAAGCGUGGGGAGCGAACAGG
rnacentral:rRNA from 1 species